GAUCGACUUUGGCUUCGAACGGUAUAUAUAUUAUCUUCGAAUUGUGUAGUUUGCUCUAAGCAUGUAACCGAAACUUUUAUUUGGCAUAAAUAAUUGUUUUCAUCAAGCUAGAAACUUUUAUUCCAUACCAAUUUAAGAGCAACAAAAUUGAACUUUGGAAAUUUAAUUUAAUUUUUUUUAGUAUAUAAUCUUCUUACAUUAAUAUAUUUUGAAAUUGAAUACUAACUGAAAUUACUAGUUUUAAUUAAUAUGUUUGUGAAAUUACUAGAAUCUGAAUAUAAUUUUGCCUAAAUUGUCUCAAUUCGAAGAUCAAUCGCAGGAACAAAGAGCUAAAGGAAAAGUAAAUUAUGAAAAUUGUUUCUUGUUUUCGGUUACGAAGGAAAAAAAAAAAGUUCUUGUUCAACUAACAUCUAUGAUUACAAUUUAUAUUUUCCGAUCACAUUUAGUUAGUAUUUUUUCGUUAUUUCAAAUAAUUUUAGUUGUUAAAAUUUUGUCUCUUCCUCAAUACAAAAAACUUUGGAAACAAGGAAC
rnacentral:lncRNA from 1 species